rnacentral:lncRNA from 10 species
GGGAAUUAGCUGCAUUCAGCUUUUAUUCUCUCCCGAAGCUUUGCAAAACCUCCCGGCCUUCCAAGAGGGUUUGCGUCUUGUCCUAGAAAUUUUCUUAUAAUUUUUCCCACCACCCUGACUGAUCUCCUACACAUGUAAGAUGUGGCUUGUCCUCCUUGCCUUCCACCAUGAUAGUGAAGCCUCCCCAGUUACGUGGAAUACAACUUGGACAGAACUGAAGGCAUUAUCUUAAGUGAAACAACUCAGAAACAGAAGGUUUUGAAGAGAUUUAUUCUGAACCAAAUAUGAGUGACCAUGGCCAGUGACACAGCCCUCAAGGAGGUCCUGAGAACAUGUACCUGUAAAGAUUUUUUUUUUAAUUGGGGUAUGGGGAAGAUACCAAGUCAAGAUGCAUGUGGUUACAAAUAAGAAUUUUUAAAAAGGCAGAAUAAACAUCUUGUAAUAAACUUAAUAAGAA